CCUACGGGUGGCAGCAGUGGGGAAUAUUGGGCAAUGGGCGCAAGCCUGACCCAGCAACGCCGCGUGAAGGAAGAAGGCUUUCGGGUUGUAAACUUCUUUUCACAGGGACGAAGCGAGUGACGGUACCUGAGGAUUAAGCCACGGCUAACUACGUGCCAGCAGCCGCGGUAUUACGUAGGUGGCAGGCGUUAUCCGGAUUUACUGGGUGUAAAGGGCGUGUAGGCGGGACUGCAAGUCAGAUGUGAAAGCCACGGGCUCAACCUGUGGCCUGCAUUUGACACUGUAGUUCUUGAGUACUGGAGAGGCAGACGGAAUUCCUAGUGUAGCGGUGAAAUGCGUAGAUAUUAGGAAGAACACCAGUGGCGAAGGCGGUUUGCUGGACAGGAACUGACGAUGAGGCGCGAAAGCGUGGGGAGCAAACAGGAUUAGAUACCCUAGUAGUC
rnacentral:rRNA from 1 species